UACGUAGGAGGCGAGCGUUGUCCGGAAUUAUUGGGCGUAAAGAGCUUGUAGGCGGUUUGUCGCGUCUGCCGUGAAAAUUCGAGGCUCAACCUCGAACUUGCGGUGGGUACGGGCAGACUAGAGUGUGGUAGGGGAGACUGGAAUUCCUGGUGUAGCGGUGAAAUGCGCAGAUAUCAGGAGGAACACCGAUGGCGAAGGCAGGUCUCUGGGCCACUACUGACGCUGAGAAGCGAAAGCAUGGGGAGCGAACAGG
rnacentral:rRNA from 1 species